GAUGAACGCUAGCGGCAGGCCUAACACAUGCAAGUCGAGGGGCAGCACAUAAAGUGGUUUACUACUUUUGGUGGCGACCGGCGGACGGGUGCGUAACGCGUAUGCAACCUGCCUCCAACAGGGGGAUAACGGAGAGAAAUUUCCACUAAUACCCCAUAAUAUCAGAAUCGGCAUCGGUUUUGGUUGAAAACUCCGGUGGUUGGAGAUGGGCAUGCGUUGUAUUAGAUAGUUGGUGAGGUAACGGCUCACCAAGUCAACGAUACAUAGGGGGACUGAGAGGUUGGCCCCCCACACUGGUACUGAGACACGGACCAGACUCCUACGGGAGGCAGCAGUGGGGAAUAUUGGUCAAUGGGGGCAACCCUGAACCAGCCAUGCCGCGUGCAGGAAGUCGGCUCUAUGAGUUGUAAACUGCUUUUACAAGGGGAUAAAUCGGUGUACGUGUACACCGUUGAAGGUACCUUGGGAAUAAGGAUCGGCUAACUCCGUGCCAGCCGCCGCGGUAA
rnacentral:rRNA from 1 species